GUGGGGAUAGCUCAGUUGGGAGAGCGUCAGACUGAAGAUCAGAAGAUUACAUGUUCGAUCCGCGCUCACCGCA
rnacentral:tRNA from 1 species